CCCCACCCACCGUUUGAUGCAUAUAUGACUUUCAGGUGAUUCGCUGUAUAUACUGUAGUCAUUUACAAUCCAACCCCACCCACCGUUUGAUGCAUAUAUGACUUUCAGGUGGUUCGCUGUACAUACUGUAGUCAUUUACAAUCCAACCACACCCACCGUCUGAUGCAUAUAUGACUUUCAGGUGCUUCGCUGCAUAUACUGUAGUCAUUUACAAUCCAACCCACCCACCGUCUGAUGCAUACAUGACUUUCAGGCGAUUCGCUGUAUAUACUGUAAUCAUUUACAAUCCAACCCCACCCACCGUCUGAUGCAUAUAUGACUUUCAGGUGGUUCGCUGUAUAUACUGUAGUCAUUUACAAUCCACCCCCACCCACCGUCUGAUGCAUAUAUGACUUUCAGGUGGUUCGCUGUAUAUACUGUAGUCAUUUACAAUCUAACCCACCCACCGUCUGAUACAUAUAUGACUUUCAGGAGAUUCGCUGUAUAUACUGUAGUCAUUUACAAUCCAACCCCACCCACCGUUUGAUGCAUAUAUGACUUUCAGGUGAUUCGCUGUAUAUACUCUAAUCAUUUACAAUCCAACCCACCCACCGUCUGAUGCAUAUAUGACUUUCAGGUGAUUCGCUGUAUAUACUGUAAUCAUUUACAAUCCAACCCCACCCACCGUUUGAUGCAUAUAUGACUUUCAGGUGCUUCGCUGUAUAUACUGUAAUCAUUUACAAUCCAACCCACCCACCGUCUGAUGCAUAUAUGACUUUCAGGUGAUUCGCGGUAUAUACUGUAGUCAUUUACAAUCCAACCCCACCCACCGUUUGAUGCAUAUAUGACUUUCAGGUGGUUCGCUGUAUAUACUGUAGUCAUUUACAAUCCAACCCCACCCACCGUUUGAUGCAUAUAUGACUUUCAGGUGAUUCGCUGUAUAUACUGUAGUCAUUUACAAUCCAACCCCACCCACCGUUUGAUGCAUAUAUGACUUUCAGGUGAUUCGCUGUAUAUACUGUAGUCAUUUACAAUCCAACCCCACCCACCGUCUGAUGCAUAUAUGACUUUCAGGUGAUUCGCUGUAUAUACUGUAGUCAUUUACAAUCCAACCCACCCACCGUCUGAUGCAUAUAUGACUUUCAGGUGGUUCGCUGUAUAUACUGUAGUCAUUUACAAUCCAACCCCACCCACCGUCUGAUGCAUAUAUGACUUUCAGGUGAUUCGCUGUAUAUACUGUAGUCAUUUACAAUCCAACCCCACCCACCGUUUGAUGCAUAUAUGACUUUCAGGUGAUUCGCGGUAUAUACUGUAGUCAUUUACAAUCCAACCCCACCCACCGUUUCAUGCAUAUAUGACUUUCAGAUGAUUCGCUGUAUAUACUGUAGUCAUUUACAAUCCAACCCCACCCACCGUUUGAUGCAUAUAUGACUUUCAGGUGAUUCGCGGUAUAUACUGUAGUCAUUUACAAUCCAACCCCACGCACCGUUUGAUGCAUAUAUGACUUUCAGGUGGUUCGCUGUAUAUACUGUAGUCAUUUACAAUCCACCCCCACCCACCGUUUGAUGCAUAUAUGACUUUCAG